UAGGGAAUCUUCGGCAAUGGGGGCAACCCUGACCGAGCAACGCCGCGUGAGUGAAGAAGGUUUUCGGAUCGUAAAGCUCUGUUGUAAGUCAAGAACGAGUGUGAGAGUGGAAAGUUCACACUGUGACGGUAGCUUACCAGAAAGGGACGGCUAACUACGUGCCAGCAGCCGCGGUAAUACGUAGGUCCCGAGCGUUGUCCGGAUUUAUUGGGCGUAAAGCGAGCGCAGGCGGUUUGAUAAGUCUGAAGUUAAAGGCUGUGGCUCAACCAUAGUUCGCUUUGGAAACUGUCAAACUUGAGUGCAGAAGGGGAGAGUGGAAUUCCAUGUGUAGCGGUGAAAUGCGUAGAUAUAUGGAGGAACACCGGUGGCGAAAGCGGCUCUCUGGUCUGUAACUGACGCUGAGGCUCGAAAGCGUGGGGAGCGAACAGGAUUAGAUACCCUGGUAGUCCACGCCGUNNCGAUGAGUGCUAGGUGUUGGAUCCUUUCCGGGAUUCAGUGCCGUAGCUNACGCAUUAANCACUCCGCCUGGGGAGUACNACCGCAAGGUU
rnacentral:rRNA from 1 species